UGAUGUCUCCUCAGAUAAUGUGGCAUCGUGUCCUCCUCCAUGUCAGAGACCAGCACUGCUGCUCUUUUGGAAGCUGUGAUCACGGGCCACUUGAUGAGAGCAGCAGAGAUAAGCCAUGGAAGGUGUGAGGCUCUCCAUCACAUCAGGCUCGUGCAUCCAUCAUCCCUGAUAAACGCUGGCUGAAGGAUGUGAAGAAGUUUACCAACUUUCACACAACACCAGACCUGGAAUCCUUUCAGAACCACAUCCUCUUGUAUGCUGCAAAAUGCUUUUCAUUCAGCUCACCAGUGUAUGAGGCGCACACUCCUCUGGCACCACACCCACAGGCCUGCAGCCCUGACUCUGAUAGUAACAAUAAAGAAAUCAUUGGAAGACGGUUGAAAUCUGGGAAGAGACAUCCCAAAACAAAAACACUAAGACCUGAUGACCAAAAGAGACUUGGACAUCUUCCUGGGAUUCCUCCACCACCUACAACAGAACUAGCACAAGCAUGCAUCCAACGCAGAGAAGUUUGUGCACAUGUAGGCAUACUUUUCUUGCAUCACUUACAUGACAAACAAGAAUAAAUAUUAUAUAUCUCAUAUCUGCAGCAUAGUCUGAAUAUUGAUAAACCAGCAUGGCUGAUCAUAAAAUAUUUUACUUUUAGAGUAAAAUGUGACACAUGUAGUCACU